rnacentral:rRNA from 1 species
UACGAGGGGGGCAAGCGUUGUUCGGAAUUAUUGGGCGUAAAGGGCGCGUAGGCGGUUUGACGAGUCUGAUGUGAAAUCUCUGGGCUCAACCCAGAGUCUGCAUUAGAAACUGUCGGGCUUGAGUAUGGGAGAGGUGAGUGGAAUUUCCGGUGUAGCGGUGAAAUGCGUAGAUAUCGGAAGGAACACCUGUGGCGAAAGCGGCUCACUGGACCAUAACUGACGCUGAGGCGCGAAAGCUAGGGGAGCAAACAGG